UUUUUUUUUUGAACCGACCCAAAUCAAUUUUCCUCCGGGAGCCGGGGAUCCCAUUUUAAUUUUUACCUUUUCAUUUUAAAUGCUACUGCUGGAUCACUCUGGUUAAACCACUUCUUGCCAAAUGCUAUAUCACUGCAUCAAGGACACUGCACAAGAACAUUUCUGAAAGAUUAUUAAUUUUACCUUGUAUGAAGUAAAAAAAUUUGUAAAAUCGGUUGUGGAGGGAAUAGGACGCAAGUUCUGGCACACAUGGGACGUUUUGGCCUUGUUCCUCUUC